CGUUCCCGGGUCUUGUACACACCGCCCGUCACACCACGGGAAUUGGCAACGCCCGAAGCCGGUGGUCCAACCCGCAAGGGAGGAAGCCGUCGAAGGUGGGGCCAGUGACUGGGGUG
rnacentral:rRNA from 1 species